GACGAAUGCUGGCGGCGUGCUUAACACAUGCAAGUCGAACGGAAAGGCCCUGCUUGCAGGGUACUCGAGUGGCGAACGGGUGAGUAACACGUGGGUGAUCUGCCCUGCACUUCGGGAUAAGCCUGGGAAACUGAGUCUAAUACCGGAUAGGAGCCAUUUUUAGUGCGAUGGUUGGAAAGUUUUUUCGGUGUAGGAUGAGCUCGCGGCCUAUCAGCUUGUUGGUGGGGUAAUGGCCUACCAAGGCGGCGACGGGUAGCCGGCCUGAGAGGGUGGACGGCCACAUUGGGACUGAGAUACGGCCCAGACUCCUACGGGAGGCAGCAGUGGGGAAUAUUGCACAAUGGGCGCAAGCCUGAUGCAGCGACGCCGCGUGGGGGAUGACGGCCUUCGGGUUGUAAACUCCUUUCGCUAGGGACGAAGCUUUUGUGACGGUACCUAGAGAAGAAGCACCGGCUAACUACGUG
rnacentral:rRNA from 1 species